rnacentral:tRNA from 5 species
GCGGGUGUAGCUCAGGGGUAGAGCGUCGGCUUCCCAAGCCGUAGGUCGCGGGUUCGAAUCCCGUCGCCCGCUCCA